UUUAUUAAUGACAGCUAAUCAUUGUAUAAAGAUUUUUAUAACAAUAUUUAUUUAUAUAAUAUCAAUUUAAUACAUUUAUUUCGUUACACCUACAUCACUGAGCGCAAGGGAGUGCAGCCAACAAAUACAUUCAGGUGUGUUUGACUUAACACCGAGAUGCGCAGACAGCACGUGGUAUGACAUCAAAGUACCGCGAGAGUUUUGGGAAAGCCCCGGAAAAGGUUUGAACUCGCGGUACUUGAUGUCACGAUCGGUUUGCGCGUAGAUCAGCAUGAAGUCGAACACAUCUGAAAGAUGUGUGGGCUGCCUGCACUCAACGUUGCGUUAAUUCAGUAGAGUGUAACCUCAAUCGGUUUUUGCAGCUUCUGGGUGUCGUGUCGAACGAUCACAGAACGAUUUUUUGUUCUUUUCCAUCUCGAUUUUUAACUCCUUAAACUAGUAGGAUGUUCCAACGGGUGAAGCAACAGUGCUUCAGUGACGGAGUUUCAGUGUGUUUUCAUGCCAUGACCACUGGGGCGGAAACCAUGACGUUGCCUUGGACUUCAAACUAAACCAUCUCAUUCUGGCUUUUUUCUAACCUCGAAAUCUCAGAAGGACAGGUCUAAUGGCCUCCAUAGGAUGCAACCUUGCAUUUGAGAAACACCCAUAGAACGGUCAACUUACCCCAUACUCUAACCUGAAUGCAGGGAUCAUAAAACUUUAUCUUUUACCUUAAUUGUUAGAUGGGUGUUGAUACCAAACUUUUUUUUCUCGUCUACCCAGGAGAAAGUCAUGGGUUCUGCUGCUGAGGUUGUCAUAAAGCAUGCUUUUUUCCAUUUGUUGCAUUUGGCAAUAUUAUCAAAAGAUUCUGAAAGAAAUAAGAUAAUUUUCAAAGCAUUAACAUGAAUAUGAAAGUCAUUAAUGACCAUCUUUUAUUAUUGUUUAUUUACAGUGUCUUUUAUUCUGCUUACCUGACUCAUGCAGAAUUCUGGCUUGAUGUUUGGUCCACCUGUUAGCUGGCUCUGGUGCUUGGUAGUCUUCUCAAACCUCUGAAUCAAGGCCACCAUGAGAGGCCUUCUGAAGACCAUCAUUACGCUGCAGAUCCAGUGGUCUUUACUAUGAGAUAGAACUGAACUGGAGUCUGUGAACUAAUGCUGUGUUCGAGACAACUUGGAUGUUUGAUAUUAUUGACCUCAAACCCAUAAGAAGUCUGGAACAGUAAACAAAGUUGAGAAUCCGACCUCUCAACUUGGGACAGAUCGAUCAACAACGACCUCAACGAGAUGCGUCAUUUGACAUUGCAGACAAGGUGGUGGCUAGCCUUUCACAGCCUUACAUGAACCGCAAACAAACUUUAAACUAUUUUUACAGCACAUAAUAUUUAUGAACAUGAAUGUUAAAUUAUCCAGUAACCGUUUUCUGCCAUAAUUGGCACAAGAGCACAAACUUCUCCUGGCGUCUCAUUAUGUGGUAAACACGCAAAUGUGAUAUGUGAUUGACUGGAAUGCAUUGAGGUCAGAGGUAGGAUAUUUAAUGACAUAACAUCAGAAAUCCGAGUUGUCUGUAACACUGCACAAUAUUUCACAUAAUUGUCACCACCUGAUUAUCCUCCCAUGUUUUUAACACAACCAUUGAUUGGUCAAGCGGAUGAAGGCAGCAAGCAGAGAAAUUUGUCCUUUGUAUCUCUCAAAAAAAAGGAAAAAAAGAAAUCUAUAUUUAAUGUUAAAAAACACUUACUGUGUUAGAUAACUGUGCUCUUGGAAGUCAGCUUAAGUUAACAAAUGGCAAUGUUAAUGAAAAGUUCAUUUUUGUCACAGUUGCAAAUUAACCACCACACUGAAUAUGAAGAAUAGCCAGAACUGUGGUAUUAAGCUAGCCCUAAAAUGUUGUGAGAAUCUUGAUGUAUUGGACACAGGUGUGUAGUAUCUGUUAUAUAUUGACGGUUGACAGGUUUGUUUGCAUGUAAUUGCAUUAUUAUUAAUUUGGGGUUGAUAGUCCAAUGUUGAUUUGAGAGAAAUAUUUUUUUCUUUUUCUUUUUAGAUCCUUUCUCUUUUUUUAUGCAGCUCUUAAGGAUGAACCACCCUGAUCUACUAAGAUGCACAGAUUCAACUCUGGCCCAGCAUCAUCCCCACACCUCAUCUGCCAUCAAUUUAAUUUAAUGUCUGUCAAUUGCAAAUGCUAUUUCAGUUAUAUUACAACUUAAUAUUAACUUUACUUUGAGACUAGUAUUGUGUAAAGCUGGGGUUUCCAAACUUUUCAUUUUAAAACCUAUUAGACAAGUAUAAUCUAUUCUAGACCCACUAAAAUAUUUUUAAAUAUAAAUUUUUUUAAUGGGGUAAAACACAUUUGUUCUCUUUCAGUGGAGUCAUUUUAUUUUCAUAAUAUUUCAUAAUGUAAAGCAGUGGUUCUUAACGUUAUUCCUCGAGGCCCAUUGCUCUGCACAUUUUGUAUGUCUCUUUUAUC